rnacentral:rRNA from 1 species
CCUACGGGUGGCAGCAGUGGGGAAUAUUGGACAAUGGGGGCAACCCUGAUCCAGCCAUGCCGCGUGUGUGAAGAAGGCCCUCGGGUUGUAAAGCACUUUCAGUGAGGAAGAACGCCUGGUGGUUAAUACCCAUCAGGAAAGACAUCACUCACAGAAGAAGCACCGGCUAACUCCGUGCCAGCAGCCGCGGUAAUACGGAGGGUGCGAGCGUUAAUCGGAAUUACUGGGCGUAAAGCGCGCGUAGGUGGCUUGAUAAGCCGGUUGUGAAAGCCCCGGGCUCAACCUGGGAACGGCAUCCGGAACUGUCAAGCUAGAGUGCAGGAGAGGAAGGUAGAAUUCCCGGUGUAGCGGUGAAAUGCGUAGAGAUCGGGAGGAAUACCAGUGGCGAAGGCGGCCUUCUGGACUGACACUGACACUGAGGUGCGAAAGCGUGUGUAGCAAACAGGAUUAGAUACCCUGGUAGUC